rnacentral:rRNA from 1 species
CCUACGGGAGGCAGCAGUGAGGAAUAUUGGUCAAUGGACGAGAGUCUGAACCAGCCAAGUAGCGUGAAGGAUGACUGCCCUAUGGGUUGUAAACUUCUUUUAUAUGGGAAUAAAAUGUUCCACGUGUGCGUUUUUGUAUGUACCAUAUGAAUAAGGAUCGGCUAACUCCGUGCCAGCAGCCGCGGUAAUAAGGAGGAUCCGAGCGUUAUCCGGAUUUAUUGGGUUUAAAGGGAGCGUAGGUGGAUUGUUAAGUCAGUUGUGAAAGUUUGCGGCUCAACCGUAAAAUUGCAGUUGAUACUGGCAGUCUUGAGUACAGUAGAGGUGGGCGGAAUUCGUGGUGUAGCGGUGAAAUGCUUAGAUAUCACGAAGAACUCCGAUUGCGAAGGCAGCUCACUGGACUGCCACUGACACUGAGGCUCGAAAGUGUGGGUAUCAAACAGGAUUAGAUACCCCUGUAGUC